GGUGAUCGGGGACUUGAUGCAGAGAAUCCAGAGGGUACCCCAGUUCCCAGGCAAGCUGCUCCUGGUGCGCAAGCAGUUGACGGGCCAGGCUCCUGGGGAGCAGCUGGACCACCAGACCCUCCUCCAGGGCGUGGUGGUGCUGGAGGAGUUCUGCAAGGAGCUGGCUGCCAUUGCCUUCGUCAAGUUUCCCCCGCAUGACCCUCGCCAGAAUGUCUCCCCAGCCCCAGAAGGGCAGGUCUGAGCCAGGACCAGGGCGGUGGGAGACUCCUGUCCACACCUCUGCCCCAGAGCUGCCUCCUGCCUGGCACUGCCACCACACUCCCCUCCUGGGAUGGGGCUUCUGCUCCCAGGCUCACUCAAGGAGACUGCGGCACGUUGACCACACCAGACUGGGUUUCAGGGAAUGGGCGUGCCCGGUGCCAAGGAGCCAAACAGAUGGCUUUCCAGGCAGCAAGGUCCUUGGGGCCUUCUUGGAGGAGCUUGGGUGACAGCCAGGUGAGCACCCAGACCCCACACCCUCAUGUGCUGUGUGCCUGGCCCCUUCUGUACUGGCCAUUUGUGGCCAGGGCCAAGCCUGUGACUCAAUUUCAGGGGCAAGAUGGGGAGUGAGCUGAUGCCUCCGAGACU
rnacentral:sRNA from 1 species